CGUUCUGAAAAGUUGCACGGGACUCUGCUUGCUCCGUGCAAGACAGACCUGAUUAGUGACCGGAAGCAGGAAGUGGGUGGUCACUGAGUGACUGCUGCACUGUUGUCUUAUGUCCAGCGUGGCUCAGCCAGCAAGCAGCUCAGCAGGGCUGGCCCGGACCAGCCUGUUUUUGUAGUGUGUGGUUUAAGCUUCUGUAUGCCUUCCAUUAGCCUCCUCUGUAUAUCUUACCACCCAAUACUUGCUCAUAUUUAAUUAUAACACAUUUUCUUUCUGAAGUAACCUCUCUUUUCACAUAAAUGAAAGUGAUGCUUGUUGGGUAUGGCUGAGCAUGUCUUCAGGUUUUCCAUUCAUAAUUACCAGCGUUUGCUCAUUUUUUCCUAGCUCAUUGGCCACGACGCCACCAUGUGUGGAGUCACUUGCUUUGUGGUAAACCUACGUGUUAACUGUGUUUAUAAGCAGAUUCGCAUAAACCCAUGGAGCAAACUAACAAUGUGUGCGAUUUUCGGUGGUGUCGGGUUCCUUAUGAUGCUCUUGGCAGGAUGUGAGCCACCAAUGAAGAAGACAAGGAUGUGGGUGGUGGCUCGAGCCAGAGUUCCCAUCAGCGGUAAGUCCAGCGUGUAUCUUAGCAUUGAGGGUGACACUGGUACAUCCCUUAAUUACACCGUUCAGUCUUUGGGGAUUAAUAUUUCUUUUCUUGCUGGCUGUGGACAGUUUCUUAAAAGGCUCAACCGAAGCCCAGGGAUGUUAGAAGUACUUCCUGCCUAAGCCACCCAGGGCUGUGGGGCUAUAGGCUGCUUCCUACCUCUGGGCAGUGCUAAUGGGAGUACCCACUACUCCUCAGCCCCACAGCCUGAUGUGUCAGCAAUAUGUUCCGGUGAUGGAGAGCAGGCUUGGGCCUGGACUCCAAGGGACAAUAGCUGCAAAUCCCCAUCAGUCAACUCAGCUUCCUGCCUCCUUUUGUGUGUCGAUUGUCACAGAGGUACCUGGUGCCGAGAGAUACCUUCCUACCAACGAAUCUCUCAUUCUUAGAGUCUUGAUGUCUGGUAGCUCUAGAUUGCCUCACUUGUCCAAGGAUACUCCCAUAGAGGUUCAACUGUCACCUUAUGCUCAGGCUUGUGUGUGUGUGUGUGUGUGUGUGUGUGUGUGUGUGUGUGCAUGUGUAUCCUAUAGCUUGCACCUGGACAUCCUAUGCAUUGGUAUGAAUUCUUCACCCCUCUGAUGGCUCUCUUCCUGCAAGGCACAGCAGGGUUAAGGUCAGAGGUCCUCCCACUUCCUGUCUCUAGGGAACAGUGAUCAACUCCUUGAUUUAGGGCUCCAUUAUCCACUGGUGUAGUGGGGGUAUAAUACUGAUGUGUGCUAUGCUUUUUUUUCCUGUCCCAGUUUUCCCCGACUAUCCUGUCUCUAUGACAGCCUGCUCCUGUGACACUAGCUCCAUACUCUAUGGUAGAACUUUCUGCAAAAAGCCCCAGAGUGUGAGACUGCCGGUUUACAUGCCUCUUAAGUUAGUUUGGAAGGAAUAGAAAACAGGCUUGUCCUUUGCAGUUCUCAUGAGAUAUUUUAAGCUCUGUCUGUCUUCAAGUACUCACAUGUACACACCUAGAUAGGCUCACACAUGCACAUCGUGCGCGCAAGGCUCACAUGCACACGCAGAAAUCUGCGCUUGCUUCAGCAUUGCCUGUAAUCGCCAGUCAUCAUAUCCUGUAGAUUUUUUACUCAUGCUCCAAUAUAGUCCU
rnacentral:lncRNA from 1 species